rnacentral:rRNA from 1 species
UACGUAGGGUGCGAGCGUUGCCCGGAUUUAUUGGGCGUAAAGGGCGCGUAGGCGGCUCGGCACGUCCGUUGUGAAAUCGCUCGGCUCAACUGGGCGAGGUCAGCGGAUACGGUCGAGCUUGAGCCAGCUAGGGGGCAAUGGAAUUCCCGGUGUAGUGGUGGAAUGCGUAGAUAUCGGGAGGAACACCAGUGGCGAAGGCGGUUGCCUGGGGCUGUGCUGACGCUGAUGCGCGAAAGCGUGGGGAGCGAACAGG